CAAUAGCGUAUAUUUAAGUUGUUGCAGUUAAAAAGCUCGUAGUUGGAUUUCGGAUGGGACUUGCCGGUUCGUCGUUUCGAUGUGCACUGGCCAGUCCUAUCUUGUUGUCGGGGACUAGCUCCUGGGCUUCACUGUCCGGGACUAGGAGCUGACGAGGUUACUUUGAGUAAAUUAGAGUGUUCAAAGCAAGCCUACGCUCUGAAUACAUUAGCAUGGAAUAACACGAUAGGACUCUGGCUUAUCUUGUUGGUCUGUGAGACCAGAGUAAUGAUUAAGAGGGACAGUCGGGGGCAUUCGUAUUUCAUUGUCAGAGGUGAAAUUCUUGGAUUUAUGAAAGACGAACUUCUGCGAAAGCAUUUGUCAAGGAUGUUUUCAUUAA
rnacentral:rRNA from 1 species